rnacentral:rRNA from 1 species
AUGAGGCGAACCGGGGGAACUGAAACAUCUAAGUACCCCGAGGAAAAGAAAUCAACCGAGAUUCCCCCAGUAGCGGCGAGCGAACGGGGAGCAGCCCAGAGCCUGAAUCAGUGUGUGUGUUAGUGGAAGCGUCUGGAAAGGCGUGCGAUACAGGGUGACAGCCCCGUACACAAAAAUGCACAUAUUGUGAGCUCGAUGAGUAGGGCGGGACACGUGGUAUCCUGUCUGAAUAUGGGGGGACCAUCCUCCAAGGCUAAAUACUCCUGACUGACCGAUAGUGAACCAGUACCGUGAGGGAAAGGCGAAAAGAACCCCGGCGAGGGGAGUGAAAAAGAACCUGAAACCGUGUACGUACAAGCAGUGGGAGCACGCUUAGGCGUGUGACUGCGUACCUUUUGUAUAAUGGGUCAGCGACUUAUAUUCUGUAGCAAGGUUAACCGAAUAGGGGAGCCGAAGGGAAACCGAGUCUUAACUGGGCGUUAAGUUGCAGGGUAUAGACCCGAAACCCGGUGAUCUAGCCAUGGGCAGGUUGAAGGUUGGGUAACACUAACUGGAGGACCGAACCGACUAAUGUUGAAAAAUUAGCGGAUGACUUGUGGCUGGGGGUGAAAGGCCAAUCAAACCGGGAGAUAGCUGGUUCUCCCCGAAAGCUAUUUAGGUAGCGCCUCGUGAAUUCAUCUCCGGGGGUAGAGCACUGUUUCGGCAAGGGGGUCAUCCCGACUUACCAACCCGAUGCAAACUGCGAAUACCGGAGAAUGUUAUCACGGGAGACACACGGCGGGUGCUAACGUCCGUCGUGAAGAGGGAAACAACCCAGACCGCCAGCUAAGGUCCCAAAGUCAUGGUUAAGUGGGAAACGAUGUGGGAAGGCCCAGACAGCCAGGAUGUUGGCUUAGAAGCAGCCAUCAUUUAAAGAAAGCGUAAUAGCUCACUGGUCGAGUCGGCCUGCGCGGAAGAUGUAACGGGGCUAAACCAUGCACCGAAGCUGCGGCAGCGACACUAUGUGUUGUUGGGUAGGGGAGCGUUCUGUAAGCCUGUGA